rnacentral:rRNA from 1 species
UACGGGAGGCAGCAGUGGGGAAUAUUGCACAAUGGGCGCAAGCCUGAUGCAGCCAUGCCGCGUGUAUGAAGAAGACCCUUCGGGUUGUAAAGUACUUUCAGUCGUGAGGAAGGUGUUAAGGUUAAUAACCUUAGCAAUUGACGUUAGCGACAGAAGAAGCACCGGCUAACUCCGUGCCAGCAGCCGCGGUAAUACGGAGGGUGCGAGCGUUAAUCGGAAUUACUGGGCGUAAAGGGCACGCAGGCGGUUAAUUAAGUUGGAUGUGAAAUCCCCGGGCUUAACCUGGGAAUGGCAUUCAAGACUGGUUAGCUAGAGUCUUGUAGAGGGGGUAGAAUUCCAUGUGUAGCGGUGAAAUGCGUAGAGAUGUGGAGGAAUACCGGUGGCGAAGGCGGCCCCUGGACAAAGACUGACGCUCAUGUGCGAAAGCGUGGGGAGCAAACAGGGAUUAGAUACC